rnacentral:rRNA from 1 species
AGAGUUUGAUCCUGGCUCAGGACGAACGCUGGCGGCGUGCCUAAUACAUGCAAGUCGAGCGAGCAGAACCAGCAGAUUUACUUCGGUAAUGACGCUGGGGACGCGAGCGGCGGAUGGGUGAGUAACACGUGGGGAACCUGCCCCAUAGUCUGGGAUACCACUUGGAAACAGGUGCUAAUACCGGAUAAGAAAGCAGAUCGCAUGAUCAGCUUAUAAAAGGCGGCGUAAGCUGUCGCUAUGGGAUGGCCCCGCGGUGCAUUAGCUAGUUGGUAAGGUAACGGCUUACCAAGGCGAUGAUGCAUAGCCGAGUUGAGAGACUGAUCGGCCACAUUGGGACUGAGACACGGCCCAAACUCCUACGGGAGGCAGCAGUAGGGAAUCUUCCACAAUGGACGCAAGUCUGAUGGAGCAACGCCGCGUGAGUGAAGAAGGUUUUCGGAUCGUAAAGCUCUGUUGUUGGUGAAGAAGGAUAGAGGUAGUAACUGGCCUUUAUUUGACGGUAAUCAACCAGAAAGUCACGGCUAACUACGUGCCAGCAGCCGCGGUAAUACGUAGGUGGCAAGCGUUGUCCGGAUUUAUUGGGCGUAAAGCGAGCGCAGGCGGAAAAAUAAGUCUGAUGUGAAAGCCCUCGGCUUAACCGAAGAACUGCAUCGGAAACUGUUUUUCCUUGAGUGCAGAAGAAGAGAGUGGAACUCCAUGUGUAGCGGUGGAAUGGGUAGAUAUAUGGAAGAACCCCAGUGGCGAAGGCGGCUCUCUGGUCUGCAACUGACGCUGAGGCUCGAAAGCAUGGGUAGCGAACCAGGAUUAGAUACCCUGGUAGUCCAUGCCGUAAACGAUGAAUGCUAAGUGUUGGGAGGUUUCCGCCUCUCAGUGCUGCAGCUAACGCAUUAAGCACUCCGCCUGGGGAGUACGACCGCAAGGUUGAAACUCAAAGGAAUUGACGGGGGCCCGCACAAGCGGUGGAGCAUGUGGUUUAAUUCGACGCAACGCGAAGAACCUUACCAGGUCUUGACAUCUAGUGCCAUCCUAAGAGAUUAGGAGUUCCCUUCGGGGACGCUAAGACAGGUGGUGCAUGGCUGUCGUCAGCUCGUGUCGUGAGAUGUUGGGUUAAGUCCCGCAACGAGCGCAACCCUUGUUAUUAGUUGCCAGCAUUAAGUUGGGCACUCUAAUGAGACUGCCGGUGACAAACCGGAGGAAGGUGGGGAUGACGUCAAGUCAUCAUGCCCCUUAUGACCUGGGCUACACACGUGCUACAAUGGGCAGUACAACGAGAAGCGAGCCUGCGAAGGCAAGCGAAUCUCUGAAAGCUGUUCUCAGUUCGGACUGCAGUCUGCAACUCGACUGCACGAAGCUGGAAUCGCUAGUAAUCGCGGAUCAGCACGCCGCGGUGAAUACGUUCCCGGGCCUUGUACACACCGCCCGUCACACCAUGGAAGUCUGCAAUGCCCAAAGCCGGUGGCCUAACCUUCGGGAAGGAGCCGUCUAAGGCAGGGCAGAUGACUGGGGUGAAGUCGUAACAAGGUAGCCGUAG